rnacentral:rRNA from 1 species
UACGUAGGGUGCGAGCGUUGUCCGGAAUUACUGGUCGUAAAGAGCUCGUAGGUGGUUUGUCGCGUUGUCCGUGAAAACUCACAACUCAAUUGUGGGCGUGCGGGCGAUACGGGCAGACUGGAGUACUGCAGGGGAGACUGGAAUUCCUGGUGUAGCGGUGGAAUGCGCAGAUAUCAGGAGGAACACCGGUGGCGAAGGCGGGUCUCUGGGCAGUAACUGACGCUGAGGAGCGAAAGCGUGGGGAGCGAACAGG